rnacentral:rRNA from 1 species
CUACGGGCGGCACCAGUGGGGAAUAUUGCACAAUGGAGGAAACUCUGAUGCAGCAACGCCGCGUGGAGGAUGACACUUUUCGGAGCGUAAACUCCUUUUAUAUAGGAAGAUAAUGACGGUACUAUAUGAAUAAGCACCGGCUAACUCCGUGCCAGCAGCCGCGGUAAAACGGAGGGUGCAAGCGUUACUCGGAAUCACUGGGCGUAAAGAGCGUGUAGGCGGGUUAAUAAGUCAGAAGUGAAAUCCUAUGGCUCAACCAUAGAACUGCUUUUGAAACUGUUAACCUAGAAUAUGGGAGAGGUAGAUGGAAUUUCUGGUGUAGGGGUAAAAUCCGUAGAGAUCAGAAGGAAUACCGAUUGCGAAGGCGAUCUACUGGAACAUUAUUGACGCUGAGACGCGAAAGCGUGGGGAGCAAACAGGAUUAGAUACCCCAGUAGUC